GCAGUCGAGCGGUAACAGAUCCAGCUUGCUGGAUGCUGACGAGCGGCGGACGGGUGAGUAAUGCAUAGGAAUCUGCCCGAUAGUGGGGGAUAACCUGGGGAAACCCAGGCUAAUACCGCAUACGUCCUACGGGAGAAAGGGGGCUUCGGCUCCCGCUAUCGGAUGAGCCUAUGUCGGAUUAGCUAGUUGGUGAGGUAACGGCUCACCAAGGCAACGAUCCGUAGCUGGUCUGAGAGGAUGAUCAGCCACAUCGGGACUGAGACACGGCCCGAACUCCUACGGGAGGCAGCAGUGGGGAAUAUUGGACAAUGGGGGCAACCCUGAUCCAGCCAUGCCGCGUGUGUGAAGAAGGCCCUCGGGUUGUAAAGCACUUUCAGCGAGGAAGAACGCCUAGCGGUUAAUACCCGCUAGGAAAGACAUCACUCGCAGAAGAAGCACCGGCUAACUCCGUGCCAGCAGCCGCGGUAAUACGGAGGGUGCAAGCGUUAAUCGGAAUUACUGGGCGUAAAGCGCGCGUAGGUGGCUUGAUAAGCCGGUUGUGAAAGCCCCGGGCUCAACCUGGGAACGGCAUCCGGAACUGUCAAGCUAGAGUGCAGGAGAGGAAGGUAGAAUUCCCGGUGUAGCGGUGAAAUGCGUAGAGAUCGGUAGGAAUACCAGUGGCGAAAGCGGCCUUCUGGACUGACACUGACACUGAGGUGCGAAAGCGUGGGGUUGCAAACAGGAUUAGAUACCCUGGGUAG
rnacentral:rRNA from 1 species